AUACAGCAGAUGGGAGAGACCAUGAUCAUGAAGGUGGUUCUCCCAGAAUGAGGCUAUCCCAUUGCACUUCGUAUGUGCUGAUGCCUGCAAUGUCCCAAAAUGCGGGAUACGCGAUAGGAAAAUUUGUGGGAGCAGGGAUCUGCGUUUGCGUUCUCACUUA